UAGCCUCUCGGUCCCGCCCCACCUCCCUCUCCACCCUUUCACAGAGGUCGCUUUGAACCCGCCCCCAGGCCCGAUCUGUCAGCUAAUCAGAGGUCCGGAAGGUUUGGGAGCCCGAGGGGCUGCGGGGAUUGGCUGUGGUCGGGAAAGGGCAGGAAUUCUAUUUGACGUUUGAGCUGCCUGAAGAAAUCCAGCUGGAACCGGUCUGGGGCGGCGUAGGGGGUGCAGGCGGAGUUUUGAGCCCCUGGCGGGAAAGCAAGUUUCUUGCGCACCUUCCCCACAGUUGUUUCAUUUUUGCUAGCUUUUCUGGGUGGUUGCCAUGCUUGUCUUUGGUAAAUUUUAACCAGUGUCUGCUGGAUAGCUGAUGUGUCCAUCGCUGGAGUAAGAUCUGGGGGCGAUGACCUCGCUCCAGGUGGCGUCGUUUUGCCGGGACUAAUGGCAGAUGAAGAUGCCGAGCCCUUUAUUAGGGAGAGGAAUUACAGCUACCGAGAAGGAUCACGGAGCAUUAGCCCGAGCUCAGAGCCCUAAGCUUCUUGUCCCUGUGACCGCCAAAAAACACUAGCCUAGAGAGACAGUGCUGUCAGGGAGAAACGUGGGGGAAUAAUGAGGGAAGGAGUUUUGUCUAGUCGUGUGUGUCUGUCUAGCCGGGAGAUAAGGUCAGAAAGCUGCUUUGGGCCGAACUGAAGGGUUAAGAAUGUUUUGCACUUUGCACUCUAUCCUGUAGGCAAGUUCAGAGCAGUGUUUGAUGAUUAUUGAUCUGGCUUUGGAACGUUGGGUAGUCUUGGAAGCUAGAGCAAGGGAAGUUGUCAGAGUCUGUAGGAACAGUUACACAACCAUAGAGAUCUAAACUGAUUAAGAAUAAAAGGGAAAGUUACUCUGGAGGAAAAGUCAGAAGACAGUGUAUGUCCUAGUAGGUGGCUCCUGCCCUGAGGUCCUUGCUGUGGAAGCCUCUUUCCUUUGCAGUCCUGGCCUCUGGAUUCCAGGCAUGCUAUUUCGUGUUUGUGAGACUCAGAUGCCACUGUAAUACUGGACCUAUUUUCUCUUCAGGUUACAGAAAACUACAUUCCUGACUCCCACUUCUAGCUGGAAACAUCUCAAUGGGGUAUCCUUGUCAAACCUUAUUUUGGAUUCUUUCUUCUGCCUCUCCAAAACAUUACGUAUUGAAUUACUACGCCAUCUUCUCAGAUGUAUCUUGAAUUCUCCUUGCUGGAUUUUCCACUUCAGUUCUUAAAGAUCCCCAUGUCUAGGCCCCAGUUGUUUACCUGUUCCCUAACUCCCAUAUUCAGUGGUUCUCAACCUCUAGGUCAUAUAUCAGAUGUCCUGUAUACCAGAUAUUUACAUUAUGUUUCAUCACAGUAGAAAACUUAUAAUCAUGAAGUAACAACAAAAUAACUUUAUGGUUGGGGAGGGGAGGUCACCACAACAUGAGGAACUGUAUUACAAGAUGGCAGGAUUAGGAAGGUUGAAAACCACUGAUGCAGGUUCUGGACAGAAUCAUCAGUCAUCAAUACAUUCUUACCAAUGCAUUCUUACAGCCAACCUUUUCUUUUGGGGGGCGGGGAUCAGGGCAGGUUGGGGGCGUUUGGUUGACUUACUUUUCUAAUCCAUGAUUAUGGGAACUACCAACCUUUUUAACUUCUCCCUGUGCUUACUUCACCACUACUGUUUCCAAAGUUACCAAAUGACCAGAUGGAAGUUCAGAAGAUACCAUUUAGUUCUUAAAUCACUCAUUUUUGUGAAAGCACUGGGGCGGCUCAGUUCUUUCUGGAGUAUUUGGCUGUUGUUUCUUGGCACACAAUCGCUAAGGGUGUUCCUUCCACCUUUCAGUCCCCCUCUUUCUAGGCCUGUCUCUUUUCUAGCAUUCUCCCUCAUCAUUUUCCACCCCUACUCCAUUCUACUUGGUGAAUCCAUGUGCUGUUGUGUAAUGAAGAGUUUGGGCCUUGAAAGACUGACUCAAAUCCCAACUUUAGUGUGUAUUUACUUUGUGAACCUUGAACUGGUUGUGUAACCUUUCUGAGCCUAUUUUCUCAUUUAUAAAACAGUAGCGACCUUGUAAAGUUGUACAUCAAUGGAUAAAUACCUGACCCCAUGUCUGCUGUGAAUUAGACCCUAAACUACUAGUCCCCUUUGCCUUAAAUGACUUCAGCUAUUACCAACAUCAUUAGCCCAUACGGUUCCUCUAAAUUUCAAAUUCUUACUCAUAGCUUUCUAUAGGAUGAUGUCACUUCGGUUCAAAUGUACAACAUGUGAGUGGACACUAAAUUAUAUUUGACUAGAACACCCUAUCAGGUGCUAGAAACUGAACGAUAAAGAGUCUCUGUUCUUUAGGAGCCAGAGGUCAUACAAUGGUAGAAUUCUACAGAGUGCUUUAUAAGAAUUAAGAGGAGCAUGUUUGGAAGAAUGUCCUGAAGUAACAGGUCGUAAAAUAGUAGUGCCAUCAAGAAUGAGAAGGAAUUUCUGCAAGAGAAAUAGCAUAAACAAAUGUGUAGAAACCCAGUGGAGGAGCAAUUUUGAAUUCCUUGUAAAUCAUGAGUAGUACACAACACUGGGAAGCUAUGGAGAAAGCUUACAGUAAGUGUUAUAGUGACACUAAGGAGCUUGGUUUUUAUGCUAUAUAUACUAGAAAGCCACAAAAAAUGACAAUAAUUAGCAUAAUUAGCUUUGCAAAACCAUUAAAAAUUUUUCUUAAAUGGCAUGCAGUAAAUAAACCCCUGAAGAGAUGUUCAGUCAUAUUAAAAAUCAGAAAGAUACAAAUUAAGUUCAUAGCGAAAUACUCUUAUCCAAUAGAUAGAUAGAAAUUAAGAAAUCCUAGUAAUAUUCUAGUAGAAUACUAUCAAAUCAUCAAGACCUUAUUAGGCUAAACCAUUCAUCUGUCAUUUCCAUAAUUCCACCAUUACUAAGGUUUACAAAUACUGUCUUAGAAGUUCUACUAUACUCCUAUAAUCCAGUUUGAUAAGUGUGUCUGGUAUUUUAAAAAAUUAAUCAGUAUAGUAGAGUAUAUUCUGUAAGUAUGAUCUGACCAAUACAAAAGCACAAAACUCCUGGAACUCCUUUGACAGGGUAUCAGUUUCACAUACUCUCAGACAAAAAGGAAAAUUUUAAAGAUACCAGAUUUCAAACUCUAAUCCCAGUGGUACAAUAUUGCAAAGCCAACGUGGUUUUCUAAUGAAUGAUCCAUGCAACAAAUGAUAGCCACACCUUAAGCUGACACUACUGUCCCUACCAUUUUCUGAACACACUGUCUGUCACUGAUACCUGAGGUUUGGAGGUUUCCAGGUCUUCAAUGUACUCUUCCCGGUUUGUGCACACUCAUGCACAUGUAACUCUGAGAGAUGCACACCCCUUCUUCACAAUUGUCAUAUAGUCUAGGACUUGGACAGUUAUUUUCCCUGUGGUUGAAGGGCAUCUCUGGCUAUAAAAAAUGUGAGUGGUGGUUUGAGAAAUGCCCCCCAUAGGUUCAAGUAUGUGAACACUUAGCUCUGGUUGGUGACACUGGGAUACGAUUUAGGAAGUAUGUCACUGGCGUUGGGCUUUGAAGGUUUAUAGCCUGGUCCCUCUUCCAGUCCACUCUGGCUUCUGUGUGUGGCUGCAGAUGUGAACUCUUAGCUUCCUUACUGCCUGCAUACUACAAAGCUUCUCCACCACUAUGUAUUCUUUCUCUGGAACUCUGAACUCAAACCAAGUCUUCCUUCUGUAAGUAUCCUUGGUUCUGAUACUUUAUCACAGCAACAAAAAGGAUGUAAAAUAAUCUUUUGUAACAGGAAACAUUUGUAAUGAUUCAUAAUUAUGCUAAACAACUAUUGAAAGGCAAAUACUAUUGAAAGGCAAUAUUUAGAUUUUCUUUAUAUAAGAUACAUAAUUCAAUAUAAAAUUAGAUACAUAUGUAAUAUAUUUGGAGAUUAGUUAAUCAGAUUUUAAUUUAAAAAAAACAGCUUAUAUGGGAAUCCAGAGUGUAAGAUACACACUCAUCUGUCUGAAUAACUUAUGAAAGUGAAUAUUAUUGUAUAAUUGAUUGCUUCACACUGAAAGGAGACAAGGAAAGUAGAAAACACAAAAAGUGGUGGCAGGGUAAGGCUAGAUGAAAAUACAAGGUAAAGAAAAACUAGGAAAUAUUUCUUCUAAUCAAGAUGGAGGACUCUUGCACCGUAUGUUGUGUCUCUGCUCUGAGUCGCUGUUUCACGACCCUGAGGUUGGCACUGUCUCUCUGCCUUGCUGACAUUCUAACCUACUCGGGCACCUCCUGGCAUUUCUGCAUAGGUUACAAGUAAGUCUGUUUCUCACUUGCCAUCUGUGUGGAAGACCAAAGCAAUUCAGUCGAUUCUACUUAUAUUAAAAUAUUUGGAACACACACAGACAAAAAUGACUUCGUUUCCAUUCCAGUGUGGUAACAAGAAGAAACAUGCCAAGAGAUAAAGGUCUCUGUUCUCUGCUUCACUUUAACAAGCACAAAGCUAACAUCCUACAGCUCCCGCCGCUGACCUGCGGCAGGACUGUAUCCGCCUGUUUUCCGGCUGGACCACCAUCACCCUGCUGACCGAGGCUUCGAAGGGCAACGAGACGGUGGUGUAUUGCUGCAUACAGAAAGCCUAUGUCUUUGGCACUAGCCUUCAAGAGAAAAAUGAAGUUGUUAAGACUGUGAGUAAUGAAUAAAUACAGCCAUGCUUA